UUGAUAGGCGAAGUCACGAUUUGAAAGGGAAUCAUCAAUUUCAGGUAGGAAUUCAUCCUUUUUUGGGGUAAUUUCUUGUCUAAUUUGGUUAUAUGUUGAUUUCAGUUUCUAAAUUUCCCUAUUUCUUGUUUUUUUUUUUUCUAAAUAUCUCAGUUCUUACAAUUAGCUAUGUUUCUUGUAGUUUGCAGAUGUCUACUUCAUCUUCUCAUGGAUUGAUGUGCCCUUUAUAUGAAGCUGAAAUGAAAUUACUUCCAUGAACUACAGAAGAACAUUACAACAAAUAUUUCUGGAAGUGUACAAGGAAAUAUGUAAGGCAUGGUUUUGGAUCAGUUUUAUUUUAUGAUAUGGAUGUUGUGGCUAUGCAAAGUGGUUGUAUGAUGUAGGGAGGUGUUGGAUGCAAAGGUUUCAUAUGGUGUGAUAAUGUUGACAAUACAAAAGGGAGGAAAAAAACAUCUUUAAAGACUUGCAACGGAUGGAAAACAAUGGUAGCAAGGACGUGGUGUUUCAAUCUAUGCAGCUACAAGUUGGAGAUGUUUUGAAUUUGCUGAAAGGAAUAAAAG
rnacentral:lncRNA from 1 species